rnacentral:rRNA from 1 species
UUAGACGGUAGGGUAUUGGCCUACCGUGGCUAUGACGGGUAACGGGGAAUUAGGGUUCGAUUCCGGAGAGGGAGCCUGAGAAACGGCUACCACAUCUAAGGAAGGCAGCAGGCGCGCAAAUUACCCAAUCCUAAUACAGGGAGGUAGUGACAAGAAAUAACAAUACAGAGCCUUACGGUUUUGUAAUUGGAAUGAGUUAAGUAUAAACCCCUUAACAAGUAUCAAUUGGAGGGCAAGUCUGGUGCCAGCAGCCGCGGUAAUUCCAGCUCCAAUAGCGUAUAUUAAAGUUGUUGCAGUUAAAAAGCUCGUAGUUAAUUUUCUGUUAAUUUUUAUAUACAAUGCUACGGUAUUUAUAUAAUAUUAACAUAAUUCAUAUUACUUUUUUAGUAUAUGAAACUUUACUUUGAGAAAAUUAGAGUGCUUAAAGCAGGCUAUUGCCUUGAAUACUCCAGCAUGGAAUAAUAUUAAGGAUUUUUAUUCUUCUUAUUGGUUCUAGAAUAAAAAUAAUGAUUAAUAGGGACA